rnacentral:rRNA from 1 species
UGGGGAAUAUUGCACAAUGGGCGCAAGCCUGAUGCAGCCAUGCCGCGUGUAUGAAGAAGGCCUUCGGGUUGUAAAGCACUUUCAGCGGGGAGGAAGGCGAUAAGGUUAAUAACCUUGUCGAUUGACGUUACCCGCAGAAGAAGCACCGGCUAACUCCGUGCCAGCAGCCGCGGUAAUACGGAGGGUGCAAGCGUUAAUCGGAAUUACUGGGCGUAAAGCGCACGCAGGCGGUCUGUCAAGUCGGAUGUGAAAUCCCCGGGCUCAACCUGGGAACUGCAUUCGAAACUGGCAGGCUAGAGGCUUGUAGAGGGGGGUAGAAUUCCAGGUGUAGCGGUGAAAUGCGUAGAGAUCUGGAGGAAUACCGGUGGCGAAGGCGGCCCCCUGGACAAAGACUGACGCUCAGGUGCGAAAGCGUGGGGAGCAAACAGG